rnacentral:rRNA from 1 species
GACGAACGCUGGCGGCGUGCUUAACACAUGCAAGUCGAACGAUGAAGCUGGAGCUUGCUCCGGUGGAUUAGUGGCGAACGGGUGAGUAACACGUGAGCAAUCUGCCCUUCACUCUGGAUAACUGCGGGAAACUGUAGCUAAUACCGGAUACGAGACCUUGGGGCAUCCCAGGGUCUGGAAAGAAUUUCGGUGAAGGAUGAGCUCGCGGCCUAUCAGCUAGUUGGUGAGGUAAUGGCUCACCAAGGCGACGGGUAGCCGGCCUGAGAGGGUGACCGGCCACACUGGGACUGAGACACGGCCCAGACUCCUACGGGAGGCAGCAGUGGGGAAUAUUGCACAAUGGGCGCAAGCCUGAUGCAGCAACGCCGCGUGCGGGAUGACGGCCUUCGGGUUGUAAACCGCUUUUAGUAGGGAAGAAGCCUCUUGGGGUGACGGUACCUGCAGAAAAAGGACCGGCUAACUACGUGCCAGCAGCCGCAGUAAGAC